rnacentral:rRNA from 1 species
CCUACGGGUGGCAGCAGUGGGGAAUAUUGGGCAAUGGGCGCAAGCCUGACCCAGCAACGCCGCGUGAAGGAAGAAGGCUCUCGGGUUGUAAACUUCUUUUUUCAGGGACGUAGCAAGUGACGGUACCUGAUGAAUAAGCCACGGCUAACUACGUGCCAGCAGCCGCGGUAAUCCGUAGGUGGCAAGCGUUAUCCGGAUUUACUGGGUGUAAAGGGCGUGUAGGCGGGAAAGCAAGUCAGAUGUGAAAACCAUGGGCUCAACCUGUGGCCUGCAUUUGAAACUGUUUUUCUUGAGUACUGGAGAGGCAGACGGAAUUCCUAGUGUAGCGGUGAAAUGCGUAGAUAUUAGGAGGAACACCAGUGGCGAAGGCGGUCUACUAGACAGCAACUGACGCUGAGGCGCGAAAGCGUUGGGAGCAAACAGGAUUAGAUACCCUGGUAGUC